GAGCAUAUAAGUUAGAGGAAUUAACACCCGACUCAUAAUCGGAUAGGGAGCACGCUCCCACUCGCCGGUUCGAAUCCGGUAUAUGCUCG
rnacentral:tRNA from 1 species